rnacentral:rRNA from 1 species
AAUGCUUAGGAAUCUGCCUAUUAGUGGGGGACAACAUUCCGAAAGGAAAGCUAAUACCGCAUACGCCCUACGGGGGAAAGCAGGGGAUCUUCGGACCUUGCGUUAAUAGAUGAGCCUAAGUCAGAUUAGCUAGUUGGUGGGGUAAAGGCCUACCAAGGCGACGAUCUGUAGCGGGUCUGAGAGGAUGAUCCGCCACACUGGGACUGAGACACGGCCCAGACUCCUACGGGAGGCAGCAGUGGGGAAUAUUGGACAAUGGGCGCAAGCCUGAUCCAGCCAUGCCGCGUGUGUGAAGAAGGCCUUUUGGUUGUAAAGCACUUUAAGCGAGGAGGAGGCUACUUGGAUUAAUACUCUAGGAUAGUGGACGUUACUCGCAGAAUAAGCACCGGCUAACUCUGUGCCAGCAGCCGCGGUAAUACAGAGGGUGCGAGCGUUAAUCGGAUUUACUGGGCGUAAAGCGUGCGUAGGCGGCUUUUUAAGUCGGAUGUGAAAUCCCUGAGCUUAACUUAGGAAUUGCAUUCGAUACUGGGAAGCUAGAGUAUGGGAGAGGAUGGUAGAAUUCCAGGUGUAGCGGUGAAAUGCGUAGAGAUCUGGAGG